AAAACUAGCCAGUCCCAUAGGUAUGAAACCCAUUUGAGCGAGAGUAGUACUAGGAUGGGUGACCUCCUGGGAAGUCCUCGUGAAAGGGUUUUC
rfam:Triticum aestivum genome assembly, contig: Triticum_aestivum_CS42_TGACv1_scaffold_436795_5DL